rnacentral:pre_miRNA from 1 species
CCUUCGUAAAACGAGAUUUUGUAGUUUAUGAAUUCUCGAAAGCUCGUUGAUACGAAGGUU